UGUCUGUCAGUGAACACGCUGCGUGAGACUCGAUCUGACUCUCUUCUGCUUGGAUUGGACUCUUCUGGAAACUGGACUUUAGAGAAAUGAUGCUGAUCUUUGGACUGAUGCUGCUGCUGCAAACUGCUGCAUUAGUUGAAUCACUAUAUGGUGAACGCAGCUGAGUGUCAGACACUCUUCUGCUGGAGACUGGACUUUAGAGAAAUUAUGCUCAUCUUUGGACUGAUGCUGCUGCUGCAAACUGCUGCAUUGUUGUAGUUUCCUGGUGUGUCAGUAGAGCUGCUGUCUGUCUGUCAGUGAAGACGCUGCGUGAGACUCGAUCUGACUCUCUUCUGCUGGGAUUGAGCUCUUCUGGAAACUGGACUUUAGAGAAAUGAUGCUGAUCUUUGGACUGAUGCUGCUGCUGCAAACUGCUGCAUGUGUGGAGUGGAACUGCAGUUUUAAUCAAUCAUAUCCCUGUUACGCAGCCCUGGGAGACAAACUCAAUCUGCUGAUGGUCCGGGAUGCCAGUGAAUAUGACCUGAAUUUAAAAAAGAGAAUAAACAACACACAAGAUGAUCAAGUUUGUAGAGUAAAAUAUGGCAGGAUAAAGGAAUGUGAUCUUUAUAAUAACAGAACUGAAGUGACAGUCAUUAAUGGGACUGUGAUAAUAAACCGUGUGAUCAGAGCAGAUUCUGGAAAUUACAGAUUAACACUCACCGAACACUCAGGUGGCACAGAAACAUCUAGAGAUCUUCAAGUGAUUGUUGAAGCUCCAGUUGCCUCAGUGGAAGUGUCAAUCAGCUGCUCCUCCAAUCAGAGGUCAGUGUCCUGCUCCUCAGAGGGGGAUCAGCUCCUCUACAGCUGGACUCUGAAUGGAGAUCCACUGAUGGAUGGAAACAGCAGCAUUGAUCUGGAUGAGGGAACUGAUGGAAACAUCAGCUGCAGCGUGAAGAACCACGUCAGUCACGUACAGAAGACCAUUAGAAUCAAAACCUGUCCUGGUCCAGAUCGUUUUUGCAGUUUUUAUCAAUCAGAUUCCUGUUACGCAGCUGUGGGAGACGAUCUUAAUCUACUGAUGGUGCGGGAUGCUCGAGAUCAAGAGCUGCAUUUGUAUAAGGAGUUAAUGGAUAGCAGAGAACUGGAAGUUUUUAGAAUAAAGAACAAAAAAGAGAAAAAACAUGAAUCCAUCAGAAACAGAUCUGAGUUCAUCUUUGAUAAUGGGACUCUGAUAAUAAACCGUGUGAUCAGAGCAGAUUCAGGGAAUUACAGAUUAGAAUUCUAUCACUCAGACGGUUUAAGACCGUUUAAAAAGCUUCUUCGUAUUAAUAUUGAAGCUCCUACUGGCUCAGUGGAAAUGUCAAUCAGCUGCUCCUCCAAUCAGAGGUCAGUGUCCUGCUCCUCUGAGGGCGAUCAGAUCAUCUACAGCUGGACUUUGAAUGGAGAAAUACUAGAACAAGGACCAAUGGAUGGAAUCACCACCAUUCAGCUAAAUGAGGAAACUGAUGGAAACAUCAGCUGCAGUGUCAAGAACCACAUCAGUCACGCACAGAAGACAAUUAAAGUCAAACCCUGUCCUGGUCCGGAUCGGUUCUGCAGUUUUAAUCAAUCAGAUCCCUGUUACACAGCUCUGGGAGACAAACUCAAUCUGCUGAUGGUGCUGAACACUAGAGAAUAUGACCUGAAGAUAUGUAAGAGGAUAUACAACACUCAAGAUGAUCCAGUUUGUAGAGUAAAAUAUGGCAGGAUGAAGGAAUGUGAUCUUAAUAAUAACAGACCUGAAGUGAACAUCAUUAAUGGGACUGUGAUAAUAAACCGUGUGAUCAGAGCAGAUUCUGGGAAUUACAGAUUAACACUCACUGACUCAAAAGGCACAGAAACAUCUAGAGAUCUUCAAGUGAUUGUUGAAGCUCCUAUUGGCUCAGUGGAAGUGUCAAUCAUCUGCUCCUCCAGUGGGGUGAUGAGGGUGUUCUGCUCCUCUGAGGGGGAUCAGCUCCUCUACAGCUGGACUCUGAAUGGAGAUCCACUGAUGGAUGGAAACAGCAGCAUUGAUCUGGAUGAGGGAACUGAUGGAGACAUCAGCUGCAGCGUGAAGAACCACGUCAGUCACGCACAGAAGACCAUUAGAGUCCAACCCUGUCCUGUGUCUGUGGUGUUUGUUCUGGUCUGGUGUCUCCAGAUGAUGGUUCUGUUGGGUCUGUUAGGAGCUUUUCACAUCUACAUGAGACACAUGUCAGGAAAGAAACAGGAAGAUCAGAAAGUGAGAAUGAGAAGAUUUAGAGAGCGACAUGAACACACAGCAGAAGAUUCAUGAGAGCAGCAGCAGAUCUUCUGUAUUUUAUGUUUUUUUUAACAUGUUUAGCCACACUUUUGUAUUUUUUUAUUCAUACGUUAUGUUAUUAUGGAAUAGUGAUGAACCAUGUUCUUUUGAAAAAAUGAAAAUGGAGUCAGCAUCAAAACUGAUGAACACUGCUAUCAAAGUUAAAUGAAGAUAAAAUGCUUUGAAAUAAAGCUAUAUUUCCAGUCAAAAGCCACAAUCUCAUUUGAUUUUUGUUGAAGCUUAUUUAAUACAAUACAUUUUCAGUGUAUUGACCAGAAAGCACACAUUUAUCAAAGUUAAACACAUUAAAAACAUAAACUCAAACGCAUACAGAAGAGAGACACAUCUCUGAUAUGCAUUUAAAUACGGCAUUAACAACUAUAGUUGUUCAGUUCUGUUCCAUGCACACUGCAUAUAAUUUUGUAAAUGCAGUUGUAACUACCUACAUUUUUUGGAAGUUAAUUUGGUUGUACAAACCCGAUUCCAAAAAAGUUGGGACACUGUACAAAUUGUGAGUUAAAAAGGAAUGGAAUAAUUUACAAAUCUCAUAAACUUAUAUUUUAUUCACAAUAGAAUAUAGAUAACAUAUCAAAUGUUGAAAGUGAGAUAUUUUGAAAUGUCAUGCCAGAUAUUGGCUCAUUUUGGAUUUCAUGAGAGCUACACAUUCCAAAAAAGUUAGGACAGGUAGCAAUAAGAGGCCGG
ensembl:lncRNA